rnacentral:tRNA from 1 species
GGCCGCGUGGCCUAAUGGAUAAGGCGUCUGACUUCGGAUCAGAACAUUGCAGGUUCGAAUCCUGCCGUGGUCG